rnacentral:rRNA from 1 species
UACGUAGGUGGCAAGCGUUAUCCGGAAUUAUUGGGCGUAAAGAGCGCGCAGGUGGUUGAUUAAGUCUGAUGUGAAAGCCCACGGCUUAACCGUGGAGGGUCAUUGGAAACUGGGGGACUUGAGUGCAGAAGAGGAGAGUGGAAUUCCAUGUGUAGCGGUGAAAUGCGCAGAGAUAUGGAGGAACACCAGUGGCGAAGGCGGCUCUCUGGUCUGCAACUGACGCUGAUGUGCGAAAGCGUGGGGAUCAAACA